CCCUUAGAUGUUCUGGGCCGCACGCGUGCUACACUGAGUGGAUCAGCGGGUCAGGUUGCGCGAAAGCGUUUCCUAAUCUUUAAAUCCGCUCGUGAUGGGGAUUGACGGUUGCAAUUUUCUGUCAUGAACGAGGAAUACCUUGUAAGCGCGGGUCAUCAUCCCGCGCUGAAUACGUCCCUGCCCUUUGUACAAACCGCCCGUCGCUCCUACCGAUGGGUGAUCCGGUGAAUGAUUCGGACUUCAGCGGCUCCCCUGGGGUGCGCCGGAGAAAGUUUUGUGAACCUUAUCACUUGGAGGAAGGAGAAGUCGUAACA
rnacentral:rRNA from 1 species